rnacentral:rRNA from 1 species
GAUGAACGCUAGCGGCAGGCUUAAUACAUGCAAGUCGAGGGGCAGCAGGGGUGUAGCAAUAUACUCGCUGGCGACCGGCAAACGGGUGCGGAACACGUACGCAAUCUACCCAAAACUGAUGAAUAGCCCUCCGAAAGGAGGAUUAAUACAUCGUAACCUAUUAGAGUGGCAUCACUUUAUUAGUAUAGCUCCGGCGGUUUUGGAUGAGCGUGCGGCUGAUUAGAUAGUUGGCAGGGUAACGGCCUACCAAGUCUACGAUCAGUAACUGGUGUGAGAGCACGACCAGUCACACGGGCACUGAGACACGGGCCCGACUCCUACGGGAGGCAGCAGUAAGGAAUAUUGGUCAAUGGACGCAAGUCUGAACCAGCCAUGCCGCGUGAGUGAUGAAGGCCUUAGGGUU